GGCGUGCAUGCCGAGUAGUUUAGGGCGCUACAUUUGAAAUCUGGAGGUCUCAGGUUCAAAUCCUGCAUCUUGCAUGCCA